rnacentral:rRNA from 1 species
GUCGAACGAAGUAGCAAUACUUAGUGGCAGACGGGUGAGUAACAUGUGGGUAUCUACCCUUUGGCCUGGAAUAACACGAGGAAACUUGUGCUAAUACCGGAUAAGUCUUUACGGAGAAAGCUUUAUGCACCAUUGGAUGAGCCUGCACUUGAUUAGUUUGUUGGUGGGGUAAUGGCCUACCAAGGCUUUGAUCAAUAGCUGAUUUGAGAGGAUGAUCAGCCACAUUGGGACUGAGACACGGCCCAAACUCCUACGGGAGGCAGCAGUGGGGAAUCUUGCACAAUGGAGGAAACUCUGAUGCAGCGAUGCCGCGUGAGUGAAGAAGGCCUUUGGGUUGUAAAGCUCUUUCGUCGGGGAAGAAAAUGACUGUACCCGAAUAAGAAGGUCCGGCUAACUUCGUGCCAGCAGCCGCGGUAAUACGAAGGGACCUAGCGUAGUUCGGAAUUACUGGGCUUAAAGAGUUCGUAGGUGGUUGAAAAAGUUGGUGGUGAAAUCCCAGAGCUUAACUCUGGAACUGCCAUCAAAACUUUUCAGCUAGAGUAUGAUAGAGGAAAGCAGAAUUUCUAGUGUAGAGGUGAAAUUCGUACAUAUUAGAAAGAAUACCAAUUGCGAAGGCAGCUUUCUGGAUCAUUACUGACACUGAGGAACGAAAGCUUGGGUAGCGAAGAGGAUUAGAUACCCUCGUAGUCCCAUGCCCG